GGUCCCAGAGAUGGGCCAUUAUGUAUAAUUUAAGCUUAUAGGCAACGUCCCUUUAGUGAUGAACUUGUAAUAGAACAUAAAGGUUCUUCCCUAUGACAUGACCUUGAAAAAGUUAUUUAACCUCUUUGCACCUCAGUUUCUUCAUCUUUGAAAUUGGGUAGAUAAUAAGAAUAUCUACUUCGGAAGGCUGCUAUAAGGGUUAUAAAAGCCAAGAUUUGUGAAGAGCUCAGACCGUCUGCUGUCUAUGAUGAGAAUCUCAGUAGAAGACACUGACCCUCACGGAAAUAAAUUAUUGAACACAUACGAACAGGUAUUCAUAGAAGCUAUCACAGCUAAACAAAGGCGAACCCAAUCCCGGAAAGUGGCAGUUCCAGCCUGAUGACUGAAUUUAACUCGAAACAAGAUGAGAGAAGGCGGCAACAUCUCCCAGUGACCAGCAGGGGUCACUCGACAACCAGAAAACGAAUAGAAGGCGCGUGCGUUCCGGCGGCUGAACCGCCGGGGCCAAAGAUGCUCCCGUGCGAGGUAGCAGGAUGUCCUCCGGGGACGCACAGAACCCACUCAACACCCUAACCCAAAACCGAAAAACAGAAACGCACUUCUCAGAAAGGACGUUUUCCUCUGGAUAAAAGGGGUAAACCUUGGGCCCAACUCUGGGGCUCUGCAUGGAGUCGCUGGAACUGGAGUCCACGAGGACGGAAGAGACACAAGGGGAGAAACUCUGCUGAGUCGGAUGCCAUUGAUCCGACUUCAGAGACGCAGAACAGAGAGCCCAGCCUCCAGCUGCUCUGUUUCAAUGUCUGCCGUAAACAAAGGUGUGUCCUCAGUGAUGCUUUGUCUUUCGAUUCCUGAAUCAUUCUCUGAGAGGAUCUUCAAGAGGAUGGAUUAGUCGUAAAGGUAGCAGGGAACUUUCCUGAGACUGUGCUGUAUUUGGCUCUGCCCUGAGUGCUCACUGACCCUGUGAAUGUCUGAUAACCCACAAAGGGGCCCUCCGAUGUGGACACCACUUUAAGGACGAUGGUAAAACUGAGCUUCUCAGAGCCCAGGUUUGCUAGAUGUAUGCUCUCAACACCCAUGCUGUUUGACUAUAAAUCUCAGGCCGGAGGACAUAAAGGAACUUAAAAGUCAACUGUUCCUAUCACCUGUCUGAUGCUCAGGUUCCUUCGAUGGCACCUCUAUCAGCUGGUGGCCUUGCUGUGGUCGCACGUUACCGUGAUGGGGACCCGUGGGUCUCUUUACAUCUCCACCUGUAAGAGAUGCCGUACGGUUGGCUGGAGAAAACCUCUGUGCCUGGAGGGUCAAUAAAGGAAGACUGAUUUCUCUUUCCCUGACAGUACUUCCCACAUCUGAAGGGCGUUAUUCUGAAUGUCCCAUGUGUGAGUGUUCUCCAGAGAAACAGACCCAUAGGAGAUUUCCUAUAAGAAUUGGCUCAGGUGAUUACAGAGGCUGAGAAGGUCUAUGAUCUGCCGUCUGCAAGCUUAGAACCAGGAAAGCUGGUGGUGUGGUUCAGUCUGAGCUGAAGGCCUGAGGCCCUGGGAAGCUGGUGGUGGUGUGAGUUCCGGUCCAAGUCCAAAAGCUCAAGAAUCAGGGGCGGACGGUAUAGGUCCUGGAGCCUGAAGGCCGAUAUCCGAGGGCGGGGAAGAUGGAUGGCUCGGAGAGAGCGAAUCAGCCCUUCCUGCCCCUUUGUCUUCCAUCCAGGCCCUCGGGAGAUUAGAUGUCAUCUCCCCACAACAUCUAAUGAUCAAAGAGGUAAAAAUGAAGAAUAAGUAAUUAACAGAUGACCAGAUCCCUUCCCCAGCUUCCCUUUCAGUUAUCUUGGGAACAAACGGUGUGAACAAGAUAACAUCUAAAGAAAAAUCACGAGGGGUUGACAAGUCUACACACAGUGGGAGAUGGUGAGGACUCUGACCCCCUAUCUCAAUGAUUAACUGAGAGUACUUCACUUUUUCCCUUUAAAAAGUUUAAUGGCCAAGCAGAAUCUUUAGAGUUGGUUUUUGGGGACACUGAAUCACCUUCCCCCCAGACUGUGGGGCUUUUCUGAUUAAAAGCAACUUUCCUUUCUACCAACACUUGCCUCUCAAGCGUUGAUUUUCGAGCAGUGAGCAGCUGGGCCUGAG